rnacentral:lncRNA from 1 species
CAUAUCCAUAUCCAUUCAAAUUCACCUAUCCAUUUCAAUUUCACAUAUCCAAUUCAAUUUCACCUAUCUAUAUCCAUUUCAAAUUCACAUAUCCAAUUCACAUAUCCACAAAUCACAAUCCAAUUCAAAUUCACUUUUAUAUAUCCACAAAUCACAAUCCAAUUCAAUUUCACCUAUCUAUAUCCAUUUCAAAUUCACAUAUCCAAUUCAAUUUCAAAAUCCAAUUCAUAUAUCCACAAAUUCACAUAUACAAGCUUCGGUGCAAAUGGACACUUUUAUAUAUCUAACACAGUUUACAAAGAAUAGAUGGCACAGGAAAAUGGGAUACAUAUUCAAUAUCUAAAGCCUUAUAAGAAGGCUUAUUUAUACACAACAAAAAUUGAAGAACUUUUGGCUAGCACAUGCAUUGACAUCUUGCACAUGCAUUCACAAUCUUAUGGGCUAGCAUAUGGAGGGAGCACGCGUGGAGCCAGAACAUGGAAGCAUGGAGCCAACACUGUGGAGAACUCAUAUUGCCUUGAAAUCUACAAUAAAUUUACCAAAGAAAAAAAUAAAAAAACAAGGCAUACGACUUGCAGAAAACAAACAAAAACCAACACAGUUGCACCCACCCUAAUUUGAAACCCACAUAACCUCAAACCCUCACAAUUCCAAAACCCUAUCAAAUCAGAACCAACAUCCAAUUUUAUUUGGAGAUUUCGAUAAAGUACUCAGAAAUCAACAUGCAAAUUGACCCUAAACCCUAAAUAACAAAAACCCAUCGAAAAUCAGAAACCCUUACCUUGAUUUUGGGACUUGAUUCUCAUCGGAGAAGAUGUGCUUACUUCUCU